rnacentral:rRNA from 1 species
ACGCUGGCGGCGUGCCUAAUACUGCAAGUCGAGCGAGAAGCUUGGGAAUGACGCUUCGGUUGAUUUUCCAAGCGGACAGCGGCGGACGGGUGAGUAACGCGUAGGCAACCUGCCCCUGACAGAGGGAUAGCCAUUGGAAACGAUGAUUAAAACCUCAUGACACCGUAGUAGCACAUGCUACAUCGGUCAAAGAUUUAUCGGUCAGGGAUGGGCCUGCGUCUGAUUAACUGGUUGGUGAGGUAACGGCUCACCAAGGUGACGAUCAGUAGCCGACCUGAGAGGGUGAUCGGCCACAUUGGAACUGAGACACGGUCCAAACUUCUACGGAAGGCAGCAGUAGGGAAUCUUGCACAAUGGGCGAAAGCCUGAUGCAGCAACGCCGCGUGAAGGAUGAAGGCCUUCGGGUUGUAAACUUCUGUUCUAAGGGAAGAAAGAAAUGACGGUACCUUAGGAGCAAGCCCCGGCUAACUACGUGCCAGCAGCCGCGGUAAUACGUAGGGGGCAAGCGUUAUCCGGAAUUAUUGGGCGUAAAGAGUGCGUAGGUGGUUACCUAAGCGCAAGGUUUAAAUUAGAGGCUCAACCUUUACAUGCCUUGCGAACUGGGCUACUUGAGUGCAGGAGGGGAAAGCGGAAUUCCUAGUGUAGCGGUGAAAUGCGUAGAUAUUAGGAGGAACACCGGCGGCGAAGGCGGCUUUCUGGACUGUAACUGACACUGAGGCACGAAAGCGUGGGUAGCAAACAGGAUUAGAUACCCUGGUAGUCCACGCCGUAAACGAUGAGCACUAGGUGUUGGGUCCGUUAGGACUCAGUGCCGCAGUUAACGCAAUAAGUGCUCCGCCUGGGGAGUACGCUCGCAAGAGUAAAACUCAAAGGAAUUGACGGGGACCCGCACAAGCAGCGGAGCAUGUG